rnacentral:lncRNA from 1 species
GGACGAAGACGGGCGGCGGCGCGGGCGCGGCUCCGGCGAAGGAUUCCGGCGGCCUGGCGGCGUGCGUGCGAGGGAAAACCGGGGGGAAAAGAAGAGGGGGUCGCGGGGGUUAUAUAGACGAGCUCGGGCGUGAAAAAGGAAGGCCGGAGGAGCGGAUUGCGGCGGCGGGCGCGCGGGGACGGCGGCCGGAAAUCGCGGCGGCGGCGCGGGCGUUUCCUUCCGAGGAAGAAGACCCUGACGCGUGGGUCCCACGCGUCAGCGGCAGCGGGCGCGCGCGCACGUGGCUGGGCCGGUCGGGUCGGCUCGGGCGCGGUCGGACCAGGCCGGUUCGGCCCAAAACGGCCGGUUCGGUCCGGUUUUCUAUUUUUUUUUUCUUUUAGCCUUUUCUUUUUCUGCUUUUCUCAUUUCUUUGAUAUCUUUUGAGUUUGAACUCCAAAUUGGUCCAAAUAAAUCCCAGAAAAUUUCUAAAAUCAUAUUCUACCAUGAUACAACUUUUGGAAGUAGUUUCACCUCAAAAUAAAAUAUGUAAAUAUAGAUUUGCCCUAUAAAUGCCUUUAGGGCCAUAUAUCUGUUUAAAUAAAAUACUUUUUCAACUCCAAAUAAUUAUCCAAAAAUUAUGGGAUAGCUUAUAUAUGCACUAAACCCUUUUUAUACAUCAACCCUAUUGGUUUGAAAAUCCAAAGGUUACAGGGAUGUAAACAAGAUCUCUUAAAGCCUUUUUGUG